AGCCAUGCGAGACGAAUGUAGCAAUACAUGGCGUACUGCUCAGUAACACGUGGAUAACCUACCCUUGAGACGGGGAUAAACCCGGGAAACUGGGUAUAAUACCCGAUAGAUCUCGAAGGCUGGAGUGCAUCGAGAUCGAAAGCUCCGGCGCUCAAGGAUGGAUCUGCGGCCUAUCAGGUAGUAGUGGGUGUAGCGUACCUACUAGCCUACGACGGGUACGGGUUGUGAGAGCAAGAGCCCGGAGAUGGAUUCUGAGACACGAAUCCAGGCCCUACGGGGUGCAGCAGGCGCGAAAACUUUACAAUGCUGGAAGCAGCGAUAAGGGGACCUCGAGUGCCAGGUUACAAAUCUGGCUGUCGUGAUGCCUAAAACGCAUUGCAUAGCAAGGGCCGGGCAAGACCGGUGCCAGCCGCCGCGGUAACACCGGCGGCUCGAGUGGUAACCGUUAUUAUUGGGUCUAAAGGGUCUGUAGCCGGCCGGAUAAGUCUCUUGGGAAAUCUGGCAGCUUAACUGUCAGGCUUUCAGGAGAUACUGUCUGGCUCGAGGCCGGGAGAGGUGAGAGGUACUUCAGGGGUAGGGGUGAAAUCUUGUAAUCCUUGAAGGACCACCAGUGGCGAAGGCGUCUCACCAGAACGGACCUGACGGCAAGGGACGAAAGCUAGGGGCACGAACCGGAUUAGAUACCCGGGUAGUCCUAGCCGUAAACGAUACUCGCUAGGUGUCGGCCACGGUGCGACCGUUGUCGGUGCCGUAGGGAAGCCGUGAAGCGAGCCACCUGGGAAGUACGGCCGCAAGGCUGAAACUUAAAGGAAUUGGCGGGGGAGCACCACAACGGGUGGAGCUUGCGGUUUAAUUGGAUUCAACGCCGGAAAG
rnacentral:rRNA from 1 species